GGGAGAAAGUCAAUCAUUAAAAAAAGAAAAAAGAAAAAAAAAGAAUUUUGUAUCGACAGUGUAUAUCUUCAUUUUAUGUCCAUACAUAAGACUAAUGGGUGUAAAACGGAGGGCGCAAAGUUUACCGAAGUAAGCGUGUAAUUUUGGAUUACAACGACUGCGUGUUAAAAUCUAGGUCUUAACCGCGGUCGAAUACGCGUUGCCAUGCGACGAAACUACGGUGCAGGCACUCAAAGGUAAUCGUGUACACCCUGAGUCGAGUGCGAGCAUAAUCCUCAUCUCAUCCCAUGCGGGUUUGACAACGGGAAGGGCUCUGUCACCUCGAGCACGAUUCAUGAAGGGCCGCUGGACUCAAAGCAUCCGCGUUCCGCAGUUUUAUGGAUGAUGCUAUUUUCUCGAUGACAAUACUCUUGGUACGUCCAUUCAUCGAACGAAGCUUAGAAUAAGGAAGAAAAGGAGAAAAGAUAAAAGAAGAAAAGAAGAAAGAAAGAAAGAAAGAAAGAAAGGAAGAAAGAAAGAAAGAAGUAAGGAAAGAAAGAAAGAAAUACAGACAGAUUACAUUCGUUGUGAUUUAUCUUUUAAACAUCAUCGUUGAUACAAAUAAACUUUUUCUUUCAGAUUUUUCAAAGGUAAAAUAUAAAUUCUCCUUCCUUCCUUCUAAACUUCCUUGAUCCAAGAAGUUGCUUGCGCGUCUUUCAAAGACUCUUCCUUAUAGAACGGAUUUAUUCAUCGAAAAUUAACGACCUCCCAUCGAGAUCCCAUUCAUCUCAAACUUAUCUCGAUCCUUACGAAGAAUUCCUUUUCGAGCAAUUGUUUCUCUUAAGGAGUGAGAAGAGGAAUGAGAAGAAAAAGAAGAAAUGGAAUGUGAAACUAUAGAAAACCGAUGGAUAUCGACAUAGUAACUUUAUCGCCACGUCUUUCGCAAGAAAAAAAGAGUUUGGAGAAAUAUUCGAUAAAGCUCAAAGGAUUCGUUAAAAGGAUUACCAUCCAUGACGGAAACGUACCUUUCCCAUGGCUUGGAAUUUGCUUUCGACAUUUGCGAUAUUAAAAUCGUUCUCGUUCCGAUCUCGUGGCAAAAGGCUACCGAUUAAAAACGCCUUUUUUAAUUUACAUUUUCGAUGUUUCUUUUUUGUUCUUUUUUGGUUCUUCUUUUUUGUCAAUCAUGUUGACGAGAAGUAACGACGAGAGUCGACGGAAGAGUAUAAACGACAACCGAGAAUCAUUUUCUUUAUUUUAUUCUUUUUCUCUUAAAAUAACGAAUCGGACCUAUCAAAUUCUUCUAACAAUUUUACGAGUAUCGUAAAGACGAGUCUAAGGGAAAAAAAACAAAGAAAAAAGAAAAAAGGGAAAAGGAAAAAGGAAAAAGAAGUUAACAAUCUUGGUUAGAUCGUAUACUGAACGUGAAAGAAUUAUUACGCGCUGUACUUUAUGUACAAUACACAUACACACGUCCGAGAAGUAUGUCACAGAGUUUUAUGACAAACUUCUGUAUAAAAGGAAAACAACGAGACGACCGGUCCGAAGGAUCCAAUCUGAUUUGUUAUAUAAAAAAAGUAGAAGAUGUAAAGAUAACAGAAAGAGAAAGAGAGAGAGAGAGAGAGAAGCAGAGAGAAAAAGAGAGAUAAAGAGAGAGAGGGAGAG